rnacentral:rRNA from 1 species
GUGNGAAAACUCUGGUGGUAUACGAUGGUUCCGCGUCUGAUUAGCUAGUUGGUGGGGUAAUGGCCUACCAAGGCAACGAUCAGUAGCCGGCCUGAGAGGGUGAACGGCCACAUUGGGACUGAGACACGGCCCAAACUCCUACGGGAGGCAGCAG